UACGUAGGGACCAAGCGUUGUUCGGAUUUACUGGGCGUAAAGGGCGCGUAGGCGGCGUGUCAAGUCAAUUGUGAAAUCUCCGAGCUUAACUCGGAACGGUCAAUUGAUACUGAUGUGCUAGAGUGCAGAAGGGGCAAUCGGAAUUCUUGGUGUAGCGGUGAAAUGCGUAGAUAUCAAGAGGAACACCUGAGGUGAAGACGGGUUGCUGGGCUGACACUGACGCUGAGGCGCGAAAGCUAGGGGAGCAAACAGG
rnacentral:rRNA from 1 species